GAUGAACGCUGGCGGCGUGCCUAAUACAUGCAAGUCGAGCGAACAGAUAAGGAGCUUGCUCCUUUGACGUUGGCGGCGGACGGGUGAGUAACACGUGGGUAACCUACCUAUAAGACUGGAAUAACUCCGGGAAACCGGGGCUAAUGCCGGAUAACAUUUAGAACCGCAUGGUUCUAAAGUGAAAGAUGGUUUUGCUAUCACUUAUAGAUGGACCCGCGCCGUAUUAGCUAGUUGGUAAGGUAACGGCUUACCAAGGCAACGAUACGUAGCCGACCUGAGAGGGUGAUCGGCCACACUGGAACUGAGACACGGUCCAGACUCCUACGGGAGGCAGCAGUAGGGAAUCUUCCGCAAAGGGCGAAAGCCUGACGGAGCAACGCCGCGUGAGUGAUGAAGGUCUUCGGAUCGUAAAACUCUGUUAUUAGGGAAGAACAAAUGUGUAAGUAACUGUGCACGUCUUGACGGUACCUAAUCAGAAAGCCACGGCUAACUACGUG
rnacentral:rRNA from 1 species